AUGGACACGCAGACGUCCAACCUCACGGCUCUCAUGGAGAAGCUCCUCUCGCGAUUCGACGAGGAGAAGGCAGAGGCAGACAAACGCGCUGAGGUGCAAACCCAGUUCAAUCAGCAGGUAUCCCAGGAGCUGCAAAGUCUGUCGAAACAGAUCGGGAUCACUCAAGCCGAGAUCGAUGACGUGCGGCAGGUGGCAUCUCCCUCGGCCUCGGCCGCGCUGUCCGCCAGGUCCGGCAUCGACAACCCCUCCACCACCGUGCUGCACACGCCGCCGCCCAAGGAAGGACCGCAUCAACCCGCACCGCCACCAUCACCGGGGCUCCGUGCACCCCCAUCUCCAGGUGCGGUGCCCAUGCCGCACGCGUUCACCGGAGGACCGCAGCCUGCGCGACUGGUCAACGAGGGGCCGCCCCUGCUUCCCAGGCUAGAACCACUGGCCGUUCCACCAGCGCACGCCCACCUGCAACAGCCACGGGAGGAUCACGGCAUCAGACCACCUAAACACCAGUUUCCUCGCUUCGACGGUGAGGGUCCACGCCUCUGGCUUGAUCGUUGUUUAGCUUAUUUCGAGCUCUAUCGCGUGCCGGAGCACAAUUGGGUGGCCACCGCAGCGCUCUAUGUCGAGGGUCAUGCCGCGCUCUGGCUCCGAGCGUUUCGGCAGCAGCAUCCAGUUCUUCAUUGGGAUAUGUUCAGACGUGCUCUGGAGGAGGAGUUUGGACCAGAGGAGUUCGAAUCCAUGAUGCACAAUCUCUUGCAGUUGAGGCAGACUGGCAGUGUGGUGGAUUACAGGCAACAGUUCGAAGUUUACAUGUACAACUUGCUGGCACUAGAUGCAACCCUCAGCCCAAAAUUUUUUGUUACUCAGUUCUUAUUAGGCCUGAAGGAUGAGCUCCGAGCAGCAGUACGCAUUCAAGCACCCAAUAGCAUAACGAGGGCCACCGUUUUUGCAAGGAUUCAGGAAGAAGAGCUUCAAAAUCAGCGUUCCAAGUCACGACCGGCGCAUACGGGCAGAUCAUCACCACUGCUCUAUACGGCACCACCGCCAGGAAGACCACCACCAGCACCAUCCACAGGGCCUGCGGUGCCUCUGUCACACCUGAUACAUCUGAUACAAGUGUAG
rnacentral:rRNA from 1 species